GGGGUUGUAGCUUAGGGUAGAGCAUUCACCUAGCAUGUGUGAGGCCCUGGGUUCAAUCCUCAGCACCA
rnacentral:tRNA from 1 species